rnacentral:lncRNA from 1 species
UCUAUUUCACCACACAAUCCAUUUAUACCAAAUCCAUAUAUGCCCAAAUCAAUCGGGCUUUACGCCAAGAGGGAACACAAAAUUUGAGCAUAUAUUGUCAAGCAACCACACAAUUUGUCAAUAAAAUUCAAACACACACACAGAUAUCUAUGCACAAUAAAUGAUAAAAUUGGCCUCUGUUUCCCCUACUGAAGGGCUUGUAUUGGAUGGUUCA